ACCUGGGUUCUUCAUCAGCCCAUCCUUAGAUCUUAGUGCACAUAUGCACCUAAUGAAGUCUCACUCUUAUCGCCGUAGCUAUAGUGCAAUGGCGCUGUCUCAGCUCACUGCAACCUCCGCCUCCUAGGUUAAAGCAAUUCUCCUGCCUCAGCCUCCGUAGUAGCUGGGAUUACAGGAUCCUGCCACCACACCCACUAAUUUUUGUAUUUUUGGUAGAGAAUGGGUUUCACCAUGUUGGACAGGCUGGUCAUGAACUCCUGACCUCAGUCGAUCCACCCGCCUUGGCCUCCCAAAGUGCUGGAUUACAGGAAGAGACACAGACAAAAACAUCCGAUAUUGGAAUAUUCCUUCGUGAAUAAAUAUAAAACUUAUGGAGAGGGAGGAAGAUAUUUUGAAAGGAAAAAAAUCAUUGGACUUUAUUGCUCAAAGCCAAAAGAAAUUGUUUUUUGUGGCAAAAGUAAAACAAGAUGGAGUUUCGCUCAUGUUGCCUAGGCUAGAAUACAGUGGCACAAUCUCGGCUCA
ensembl:lncRNA novel transcript, antisense to SNCA